GCGCCUGUAGCUCAGAUGGAUAGAGCGACUGCCUCCUAAGCAGUAGGCCACACGUUCGACUCGUGUCAGGCGCA
rnacentral:tRNA from 1 species